rnacentral:misc_RNA from 1 species
GAUGAAGAACGCAGCGAAAUGCGAUAAGUAAUGUGAAUUGCAGAAUUCAGUGAAUCAUCGAAUCUUUGAACGCACCUUGCGCUCCUUGGUAUUCCGAGGAGCAUGCCUGUUUGAGUGUCAUGAAAUUCUCAACCUUUUCAGCUUUCUUUGUUGAUCAGGCUUGGAUGUGGGAGUAUGCGGGCUUCUCAGAAGUCGGCUCUCCUGAAAUGCAUUAGCGGGGCCUUUGUUGCCUGGCUUUGGUGUGAUAAUUAUCUACGCCAUUGUAGUCAAGCAGCUUAAAAUGAGGUUUCAGCUUCUAACCGUCUCCCCUGAGACAACUUUUUGACAAUUUGACCUCAAAUCAGGUAGGACUACCCGCUGAACUUAAGCAUAUCAAUAAGCGGAGGA